GAAGGUGGCUCAGUGGUAGAGUACUUGCCUUGCAUGCAUGAGGCCCUGGGUUCGAUUCCUCACAACUACA
rnacentral:tRNA from 1 species